UACGUAGGAGGCAAGCGUUGUCCGGAAUUACUGGGUGUAAAGCGCGUGUAGGCGGCAGGCCAAGUCUGUGGUGAAAUCGCUCGGCUCAACUGGGCGGGGUCCAUGGAAACUGGUCAGCUGGAGGACGGUAGAGGUGAGUGGAAUUCCUGGUGUAGCGGUGAAAUGCGCAGAUAUCAGGAAGAACACCCGUGGCGAAGGCGGCUCUCUGGGACGGUACUGACGCUGAGACGCGAAAAGCGUGGGGGAGCGAACAGG
rnacentral:rRNA from 1 species